CCUACGGGAGGCAGCAGUGAGGAAUAUUGGUCAAUGGGCGCGAGCCUGAACCAGCCAAGUCGCGUGAGGGAAGACGGUCCUAUGGAUUGUAAACUUCUUUUGUCGGGGAGCAAAAGCCGCCACGCGUGGCUUUCCGAGAGUACUCGAAGAAAAAGCAUCGGCUAACUCCGUGCCAGCAGCCGCGGUAAUACGGAGGAUGCGAGCGUUAUCCGGAUUUAUUGGGUUUAAAGGGUGCGCAGGCGGAAGAUCAAGUCAGCGGUAAAAUUGCGAGGCUCAACCCCUUCGAGCCGUUGAAACUGGUUGUCUUGAGUGGGCGAGAGGUAUGCGGAAUGCGUAGUGUAGCGGUGAAAUGCGUAGAUAUCGCGCAGAACUCCGAUUGCGAAGGCAGCAUACCGGCGCUCAACUGACGCUGAUGCACGAAAGUGUGGGUAUCGAACAGGAUUAGAUACCCUUGUAGUC
rnacentral:rRNA from 1 species